rnacentral:rRNA from 1 species
AUUGAACGCUGGCGGCAGGCUUAACACAUGCAAGUCGAGCGGGGAAGGGUAGCUUGCUACCUGACCUAGCGGCGGACGGGUGAGUAAUGCUUAGGAAUCUGCCUAUUAGUGGGGGACAACAUUCCGAAAGGAAUGCUAAUACCGCAUACGUCCUACGGGAGAAAGCAGGGGAUCUUCGGACCUUGCGCUAAUAGAUGAGCCUAAGUCAGAUUAGCUAGUUGGUGGGGUAAAGGCCUACCAAGGCGACGAUCUGUAGCGGGUCUGAGAGGAUGUUCCGCCACACUGGGACUGAGACACGGCCCAGACUCCUACGGGAGGCAGCAGUGGGGAAUAUUGGACAAUGGGCGAAAGCCUGAUCCAGCCAUGCCGCGUGUGUGAAGAAGGCCUUUUGGUUGUAAAGCACUUUAAGCGAGGAGGAGGCUACUGAGAUUAAUACUCUCGGAUAGUGGACGUUACUCGCAGAAUAAGCACCGGCUAACUCUGUGCCAGCAGCCGCAGUAA